AACGCUGGCGGCAGGCUUAACCAUGCAAGUCGAGCGCCCCGCAAGGGGAGCGGCAGACGGGUGAGUAACGCGUGGGAAUCUACCCUUUUCUACGGAAUAACGCAGGGAAACUUGUGCUAAUACCGUAUACGCCCUUCGGGGGAAAGAUUUAUCGGGAAAGGAUGAGCCCGCGUUGGAUUAGCUAGUUGGUGGGGUAAAGGCCUACCAAGGCGACGAUCCAUAGCUGGUCUGAGAGGAUGAUCAGCCACAUUGGGACUGAGACACGGCCCAAACUCCUACGGGAGGCAGCAGUGGGGAAUAUUGGACAAUGGGCGCAAGCCUGAUCCAGCCAUGCCGCGUGAGUGAUGAAUGCCCUAGGGUUGUAAAGCUCUUUCACCGGUGAAGAUCAUGACGGUAACCGGAGAAUAAGCCACGGC
rnacentral:rRNA from 1 species